GCCCAGUCAGACAGGGCUCUGACUCCUUAUCUCUGCUCUAUGACCUCCUAAACACUCAUUAUAGCUCAGUUCUCAUCUUACUGAUAAGAAUGUUGCUUAAAUAGGUGUUUAUGACCCCUUAGUAGUUUAGAGAUAAGGUCUAU